CUGUGGAGUUGUUUGAGAAACAGCUUGCUUUUGCUCCAUGAUAUUUUAAGUGUUUAUGAAGUGAAAAAAAAAAAGAAUUCCAAAUCCUAGUUCCAUCCGUCACUGGCUUUGUGAAUCUCACUAGCCCACUAGCCUCAGUUGGCUCAUCUGUCAAGUGGGGCUAAGUAGAGUGAUUAUUACAGCUGCUUCAAGAAAGUUACUAGAUCAUAUGCACGGAACAUGCCAGGGGCCCUGAUGUGUUCUGGGAGCUGCUCUGUGAUCCCUACUUCUUAAUUUUUUUUUAAAGAUUUAUUUAUUGGACACAGAAAGAUCACAAGUAGGGAGAGAGGCAGGCAGGGGGCGGGGGAAGCAGGCUCCCUGUUGAGCGGACAGCCCAAUGUGGGGCUUGAUCUCAGGACCCUGAGACCAUGACCUGAAUUGAAGGCAGAGGCUUAACCCACUGAGCCACCCAGGUGCCCCUGUGAUCCCUACUUCUUUACUUCAUUUCGUCUUCACCAUCACCCUGAGGAAGGGACUAUUAUUAUCCCAUUUUACAGAUGAAAGAACUGAGGCUCAGAGGAGUAAGUUACGUGCCCCGUGAUGACCCUGGCUUUCAGGCAAUCUGUUUGGAUGAUCGGCGACCCCUUGCUGGGGCCAGGACCUCACUCCAGUGUGCUUUCCCUGGGAUGUCCCCACUUGUACUGUCAAAGGCCACAUCCCUCCUGGAGUUAUGUUAUCCCCUGCAUCUUGAGGAAUCACUGUUGCCUUGGAAACUAGGAUGGUCUGAGCUGGACCGGUGAUUGUAGGUCAUCUUGUUCUACGCCCUUAGCUAAGGGCUAGAUAGAGACUCUCAGUUGGUGGGGACCUGGUCAGGGUCACACGUUGACCCUAUGACAGUUUUGAGUGCAGACUCUGAUGACCUCUUUGGUUGGCCAUUGGAGGAAGGAGCAGCCCUGGUUACCCUAAGUACCCUAAGGGAGUUGGGGAGUCUGCCCUUCUUCUGGUCUCUUUUCUCUGGGCUGUCCUGGUUUUCAGAAUGGUAGAGCCCAGGCUCCAGAAGGGGACUCCUAUCUGACCUCACCUGUGCCAAUCCGGCCAGGCCUUGGCUUCCUUCAGCUCUAACCGGAAGUGGCAGGCUUUGAGGGGAAUCCAUCCACCUUCCCAUGUUAUAGCCCUUGCUGCACCUGUCACUACCCGAGCCAGGGGUUGGGGGGGCGGGCAGUGUGGCACACUGGAGCCACUGGUGGCUUUGGAGCCAUACAGGGGACUUGCUCUAUCAUCCUGGGCAAAUCACUUUGCCUCUCUGAGCCUUAGUUUCUUUAUCUGUAAAAUGGGGAUAAUAAUAGGACCCACUUCAUAAAGGUCUUGGAAAGAUUAGUAGUAGCAAUGGUACCCAUGGCGGCUGCCAGGCUGUGGGCAUUUACUGUGUGCUGGUUGCUGCCUCCCGGUCACUAUCCCUGAGGCAUUACGAGGCAGUUACUGCUAGCAUCCCCUCUUUACAGAGGAGGGAACUGAGGCUCGGAGGGGUUAAAUGGUUUGCUCCACUAGUAAGCAGUAGCGCCUGGAUUCCAGCCCAGGUCUGUCCGACUCCAAAGCCCUGAAUACAUAACCCAGGAGGGUUAUUCAAUAUAUUCAACAAUUGGCCUGGCCUGGGGACUCCAAGCCAUCAGAAUGGAUGCCGGCCAUAAGUAAGCAAGCUGUAUGUUCCCCCUGUCUUGCCGUAUCCAUUACACACUCGACUGCGUUAAAUGGGAUUAAUCCAGGAAAUGAGAUUACAGAUGUCAAGCAGCUUGGAGAACCCCAAAGCUCUCCAUAGCAUGGGAUUCUGUUCCUUCUUACGCUGUGGGGAAGAGGCCUGUGAAUCAGGAGACCCGGGCUGAACUCCUGGCUCUGCUGAACAGCCUCUGUUGAGUCUUGGAAGACCAUUUCCAGAAACAGAGAUUAACUAGGGGGAAACGGGCUAAGUUUAGCAGGUGCUCCGAGAGCGUUGGUCAGGCACGUUCAUGUGCUACCAGGCACGGGGUCUGUCCAAACAGACCCAGGAGGUCCUCAGCCUGGCCCCCGUGUGCUGUGUCACUCAGUCAAGGGAUUUGCAUGUUAGUUUUUAAAAAACAACUUAAAAUACAUUGUAUAUAUUUUAAAAAAAUAUUUAUGUAUUUAUUAGAGAGAGAGAUUGCAUGGUGGAGAGGAGAAGAGGGAGAAUGAGAACCUGUGAAUCUCAAGUAGGCUCCCAGCCAAGUGCAGAGCCCGACACGGGCUGGGAUCUCGAGAUCCUGAGAUCACGACAUGAGCCAAAGUCAAGAGUUGGAGGCUUGGGGCGCCUGAGUGGCUCAGUGGGUUAAAGCCUCUGCCUUCGGCUCAGGUCAUGAUUCCAGGGUCCUGGGAUGGAGCCCCGCAUCGGGCUCUCUGCUCAGUGGGGAACCUGCUUCCCCCCUCUCUCUGCCUGCCUCUCUGCCUACUUGUGACCUCUUUCUCUCUCUCUGUCAAAUGAAUAAGGGAUAUAUUUAAAAAAAAAAAAAAGUGUCGGAUGCUUAACUGAAUGAGCCACCAGGUGCCCCAACACUGUACAUAUUUACGGUACGAAAUUGGCUCAUAUUUAAAGUAUUUGAUCUGCUUUCAACAGGUGUAGACACCAGUGGGAACACCACCACAGUCACUAUGUAACAUAGCUGGCACUUCUCAAAGUUCUCUCGUUCCCCUCAACCCCCUGCCUCUCCCUCCACACCCCUUCUCUGGCACACAGUGCUCUGUUUUCCAUCACUAUAGGUCCCUUUGCCUCUUCUAGAAGUUUCUAUAAUGAAUGAAAGAAAUCACACCAUAUGUAGGCUUUUGUGUCUGGCUUCCUUCCUUCCUUCCUCCUCGAGAUUCAUCCGUAUAGUCCUGUGUGUUGCUGAAUACUGUUCUCUUGUAUGUAUGAAUCACAGUUGGUUUGUCUUCCCAUUCACCUCUGGAUGGCUGUUUCAUUUUUUUACCCCCAGUUUUUGGCCAUUAUAAAUAAAGCUCUUAGGAAC
ensembl:lincRNA